rnacentral:rRNA from 1 species
GAUGAACGCUAGCGGCAGGCUUAAUACAUGCAAGUCGAGGGGCAGCGCAGUGUAGCAAUACAUGGGCGGCGACCGGCAAACGGGUGCGGAACACGUACGCAACCUUCCUUUAAGUGGGGGAUAGCCCAGGGAAAAUUGGAUUAAUACCCCGUAAUAUUAUGAAGUGGCAUCACUUUAUCCUUAUAGCUCCGGCGUCUAAAGAUGGGGGUGCGACUGAUUAGGUAGUUGGCGGGGUAACGGCUCACCAGGCCUGCGGUCAGUAACUGGUGUGAGAGAGCGACCAGUCAAACGGGGACUGAGACACGUGCCCGACUCCUACGGGAGGCAGCAGUAAGGAAUAUUGGUCAAUGGACGCAAGUCUGAACCAGCCAUGCCGCGUGGAGGAUGAAGGUCCUCUGGAUUGUAAACUUCUUUUAUUUGGGAAGAAACCCACUGUUUCUACGGUGGUUGACGGUACCAGAUGAAUAAGCACCGGCUAACUCCGUGCCAGCCGCCGCAGUAA